rnacentral:rRNA from 1 species
GUCUUUUUGAUUAUAAUUUAAAGUCUAACCUGCCCUAUGAUUAAUUAAAUGGCCGCAGUAUUUUGACUGUGCAAAGGUAGCAUAAUAAUUAGUUUUUUAAUUGAAAGCUGGUAUGAAAGGUUGAACGAAAAGAUAUCUGUCUCAAUUUAAUUUAAUUAGAAUUUUAUUUUUUAGUAAAAAAGCUAAAAUUAUUUUUAAAGACGAGAAGACCCUAUAGAGUUUUAUAUUUAAAUUUAUAUAUUUUAUAGAAUUAAACUAUAAUUUAAAAUAUUUUAUUGGGGUGAUAAAUAAAUUUAAUUAACUUUAUUUUUUUAAAUCAUUUAUGUAUGAUUAGUUGAUCCAUAAAAAUGAUUAAAGAUUAAAUUACCUUAGGGAUAACAGCGUUAUUUUUUUUAAGAGUUCUUAUCGAAAAAAAAGAUUGCGACCUCGAUGUUGGAUUAAAAUUUAUUUAUGGUGUAGAAGCUAUAAGAUUAGGUCUGUUCGACCUUUAAAAUUUUACAUGAUCUGAGUUUAAACCGGUGUGAGCCAGGUUGGUUUCUAUCUUAAAACUAAUAAAAUAUUUUAGUACGAAAGGACCAAAUAUUUAUAAAAUUUAUUAUUUUUUGAUUUC